CAGAGGGGAACAGAGGGGAACAGAGAGGAACAGAGGGAAACAGAGGGAAACAGAGGGAACAGAGGGGAACAGAGGGAAACAGAGGGGAACAGAGGGGAACAGAGGGGAACAGAGGGGAACAGAGGGGAACAGAGGGGAACAGAGGGGAACAGAGGGGAACAGGGGGGAACAGAGAGGAAGAUAUGAAGUGGGGCAGGCUAAUGAUCACCAUAGACUGAGAUGCUUUAUGAUGUGCUGUAUUACUUGUGGUGUCUGUGCUACUGACAGACAUUACAGGCACAUAAAUAUUGGGGUAUGAAAUGACUGAGGGAUGUUACCUGGUGUAUAGAGUCUCAACAGGGGAAGGUGUUACCUGGUGUAUAGAGUCUCAACAGGGGAAGGUGUUACCUGGUGUAUAGAGUCUCAACAGGGGAAGGUGUUACCUGGUGUAUAGAGUCUCAACAGGGGAAGGUGUUACCUGGUGUAUAGAGUCUCAACAGGGGAAGGUGUUACCUGGUGUAUAGAGUCUCAACAGGGGAAGGUGUUACCUGGUGUAUAGAGUCUCAACAGGGGAAGGUGUUACCUGGUGUAUAGAGUCUCAACAGGGGAAGGUGUUACCUGGUGUAUAGAGCCUCAACAGGGGAAGGUGUUACCUGGUGUAUAGAGUCUCAACAGGGGAAGGUGUUACCUGGUGUAUAGAGUCUCAACAGGGGAAGGUGUUACCUGGUGUAUAGAGCCUCAACAGGGGAAGGUGUUACCUGGUGUAUAGAGCCUCAACAGGGGAAGGUGUUACCUGGUGUAUAGAGUCUCAACAGGGGAAGGUGUUACCUGGUGUAUAGAGUCUCAACAGGGGAAGGUGUUACCUGGUGUAUAGAGUCUCAACAGGGGAAGGUGUUACCUGGUGUAUAGAGUCUCAACAGGGGAAGGUGUUACCUGGUGUAUAGAGCCUCAACAGGGGAAGGUGUUACCUGGUGUAUAGAGUCUCAACAGGGGAAGGUGUUACCUGGUGUAUAGAGUCUCAACAGGGGAAGGUGUUACCUGGUGUAUAGAGUCUCAACAGGGGAAGGUGUUACCUGGUGUAUAGAGUCUCAACAGGGGAAGGUGUUACCUGGUGUAUAGAGUCUCAACAGGGGAAGGUGUUACCUGGUGUAUAGAGUCUCAACAGGGGAAGGUGUUACCUGGUGUAUAGAGUCUCAACAGGGGAAGGUGUUACCUGGUGUAUAGAGCCUCAACAGGGGAAGGUGUUACCUGGUGUAUAGAGUCUCAACAGGGGAAGGUGUUACCUGGUGUAUAGAGUCUCA